AUUGAACGCUGGCGGCAGGCUUAACACAUGCAAGUCGAGCGGGGAAGGUUGCUUCGGUAACUGACCUAGCGGCGGACGGGUGAGUAAUGCUUAGGAAUCUGCCAUUUAGUGGGGGACAACAUUCCGUAAGGAAUGCUAAUACCGCAUACGUCCUACGAGAGAAAGCGGGGGAUCUUCGGACCUUGCGCUAAAUGAUGAGCCUAAGUCGGAUUAGCUAGUUGGUGGGGUAAAGGCCUACCAAGGCGACGAUCUGUAGCGGGUCUGAGAGGAUGAUCCGCCACACUGGGACUGAGACACGGCCCAGACUCCUACGGGAGGCAGCAGUGGGGAAUAUUGGACAAUGGGCGGAAGCCUGAUCCAGCCAUGCCGCGUGUGUGAAGAAGGCCUUAUGGUUGUAAAGCACUUUAAGCGAGGAGGAGGCUACCUAGAUUAAUACUCUAGGAUAGUGGACGUUACUCGCAGAAUAAGCACCGGCUAACUCUGUGCCAGCAGCCGCCGUAAUAC
rnacentral:rRNA from 1 species